UAGAAUUUGAUUCCUUGUUUCAUACCAAAUCAUCUGUUUUUAUUUUAACUGAAUUGAAUGUUAAAGAUUGACUCAAUUUAAAUUAUUUUUCAGGUUCACUUCAAAUCUACAGAAAAUUGCGACGAGGUCGUAACCGCAGCUGCAUCCGAUCUGACAUCCGAUUUGGAUAAAUUAGAAGCCUCCAUUCAAGAUCGUGUUAAUAGUCUAGAAAAAAACCCUAAGUCAAAUUGAAAGCUAUCAAAAGGAAAUUCAACAACUUCGUCGACUAAGUAUUCAAGUAGAACAAAAGCUGAGGUUGGCCAUGUGUCCAACGCAGUUGGCGCAAGACAGAGACAAAGCAUUGGAAGAACAGAACAUUCCAGGAAGAAAUCUGGAACUUAAAGAUGUAGUACCCACCAAUUUUGCAGAUUUUACUGGGGAAGAACUACAGCAACUCUACUCUGUUUCUCAAGUGAGCAAACAUUUUCACUAAUUCAAUAGGCAAAAGUUUAAGGAAAUCUCUCUCCUUUUUCAAAUGUCUACCACCAAUUUUUGUGACAGAAAUGAUC
rnacentral:lncRNA from 1 species